UACGGAGGGUGCGAGCGUUGUCCGGAAUCAUUGGGCGUAAAGGGCGCGUAGGUGGCCUGUGCAAGCGUGCGGUGAAAGCUCGGGGCUCAACCCCGAGUCGGCCGUGCGAACUGCUGGGCUCGAGCACUGUAGAGGCAGGCGGAAUUCCGGGUGUAGCGGUGGAAUGCGUAGAGAUCCGGAGGAACACCGGUGGCGAAGGCGGGUCUCUGGGCCGUAACUGACGCUGAGGAGCGAAAGCGUGGGGAGCGAACAGG
rnacentral:rRNA from 1 species